rnacentral:rRNA from 1 species
UACGGGGGGGGGCAAGCGUUGUUCGGAAUUACUGGGCGUAAAGGGCGCGUAGGUGGCCUUCUUAGUCAGACGUGAAAUCCCCAGGCUUAACCUGGGAACUGCGUCUGAUACUGGAUGGCUUGAGAUUGGGAGAGGGAUGCGGAAUUCCAGGUGUAGCGGUGAAAUGCGUAGAUAUCUGGAGGAAUACCGGUGGCGAAGGCGGCAUCCUGGACCGACAUUGACGCUGAGGAGCGAAAGCUAGGGGAGCAAACGGG